rnacentral:sRNA from 1 species
GUAAACGUUAACACCCUACUCUCACCGCU